GGAAGAGGAGGAAGAGGAGGAAGAGGAGGAAGAGGAGGAGCUGAUCUGUUCCUGAUCUCUAUAGAAACUCAAACUUCCUCCUUCAGUUCAGUUCAACUCUCCAACAUUAACUCUGAUCAACAUGGACUAUUAUGGUCUGUUUCUGCUCAUCGUCUCUCUACUAACAGGUGUGAACUGUAAAGACCUUGUUCCAGUUCAGGAGGAAGAGUUCGCUGUGGAGGGGAGAACAGUUUCUCUGUCCCACCCUAAAGACUCCUCUGGGACGUAUUUCUUCUGGUACCGACAGCUUCAGGGAAAAUCACCAGAGUUUCUCAUUUCUCACUCGCCUUCAGGAGAAGUAGGGCUGCAAAGAACCACUGGGCUGAAGAUCCAAGUGGACAAAAAUGAAAUAAAGCUGCUGAUCUCCUCUGCUGCAGUGACAGACUCUGCUGUGUACUACUGCGCUCUGCAGCCCACAGUGACAGGAAACACCAGAACCCUGUACUAAAACCUGCAGUGCUCCACAGCAGCCACUAGAGGGCCUCACUCCCUGUUAAACCAUUAAAACCUGCAGUGCUCCACAGCAGCCACCAGAGGGCCUCACUCCCUGUUAAUCCACUGGUUGUUGAGUCUCUGGACUGAAGACAGACAUGAAGCAGUAAAGAUCAGAGCUGCUGAGGAAGCAGAAAACUGUGAUAAUUCAUUUAUUACGUUUCUAUAUUUAUUUUGUUGACACAAAUAACUUUAUUGAGUUAUUUGUUCAGGUUACCAUUUCUUGAACCUGACUGAGGUUUGAUCCAGUCAGUAGAGCGAAAUCCUGUGGGGUCCUCUGGACCUGAUGAAGCACAGGAAGUUUAGCACCACCUGCUGGU